rnacentral:rRNA from 1 species
AGAGUUUGAUCAUGGCUCAGGAUGAACGCUAGCGGCAGGCCUAAUACAUGCAAGCCGAACGGUAACUCUGAUAGCAAUAUUAGAGCUAGAGUGGCGUAAGGGUGCGUAACACGUAUGCAAUCUGCCCGCAACAGGAGGAUAGCUCCCCGAAAGGGGAAUUAAUACUCCAUAACACCAUUUGAGGGCAUCUGAAGAUGGUUAAACUACAAGGGGUUGCGGAUGAGCAUGCGGUUGAUUAGCUAGUUGGUAGUGUAACGGACUACCAAGGCAAUGAUCAAUAGGGGAACUGAGAGGUUUAUCCCCCACACUGGCACUGAGAUACGGGCCAGACUCCUACGGGAGGCAGCAGUAGGGAAUAUUGGACAAUGGGCGAGAGCCUGAUCCAGCCAUGCCGCGUGCAGGAAGAAGGCCUUCUGGGUUGUAAACUGCUUUUGCCAGGGGAUAAAAAGUCCCUGCGGGGAAAAUUGAAGGUACCUGGUGAAUAAGCCACGGCUAACUACGUGCCAGCAGCCGCGGUAAUACGUAGGUGGCAAGCGUUGUCCGGAUUUAUUGGGUUUAAAGGGUGCGUAGGCGGUUUAAUAAGUCAGUGGUGAAAUACGGCAGCUCAACUGUCGAGGUGCCAUUGAUACUGUUAGACUUGAGUACAGACGAGGUAGGCGGAAUUGACGGUGUAGCGGUGAAAUGCUUAGAUAUCGUCAAGAACACCGAUAGCGAAGGCAGCUUACUAGGCUGUAACUGACGCUGAGGCACGAAAGUGUGGGGAUCAAACAGGAUUAGAUACCCUAGUAGUCC